UACGGGGGGGGCAAGCGUUGUUCGGAAUUACUGGGCGUAAAGGGCUCGUAGGCGGCCAACUAAGUCGGACGUGAAAUCCCCAGGCUCAACCUGGGAACUGCGUCCGAUACUGGAUGGCUUGAAUCCGGGAGAGGGAUGCAGAAUUCCAGGUGUAGCGGUGAAAUGCGUAGAUAUCUGGAGGAAUACCGGUGGCGAAGGCGGCAUCCUGGACCGGUAUUGACGCUGAGGAGCGAAAGCCAGGGGAGCAAACGGG
rnacentral:rRNA from 1 species